UAAGUUGAGCAGCAUUGCUUCUUUUCACUAUUGGCAUCACCGGCAGCGACAUUGAUCGUCUUCCCUUCUUUGACACCUCCAGCGGCACCUGCCCCGCCUUCAUCUGAUGCCACGGGCUUCUUGCUGAUGGCCCUGUAAAUGUCACCGAGAAUCAGCUGGAAUGCCUCCUCCACAUUUGUGGCCUCAAGAGCUGAAGUCUCAAUGUAGGACAGCCCUUCUGCCUCAGCAAACUUGUGCGCAUCGUCUGUCGCGACGGCCCGAAGGUGCUUCAGAUCAGUCUUGUUGCCGACGAGCAUGAUUCUGAUGUUUGCAUCAGCGUGGUCGCGGAGCUCCUUGAGCCACCGGCUGAUGUUGUCAAAGGUUGUGGGCUUGCUCACGUCGUAGACCAGGACUGCUCCUAGAGCUCCACGGUAGUAAGCGCUGGUGAUAGCUCUGUAUCGCUCUUGACCUGCGGUGUCCCAGAUCUGCGCCUUGAUUAUCUUGCCCUCCACCUACAUCAAGGUGCGGGUGGCGAACUCGACGCCGAUGGUGGACUUGGACUCGAGGCAGAACUCGUUGCGGGUGAAACGGGAGAGGAGGUUGGACUUGCCGACGCCGGAGUCGCCGAUGAGAACCACCUUGAACAGGUAGUCGUACUCCUCCUCCGCACGCCGCGUCCCCGCCAUCUAUCCAAUUCCCUUCCUCC
rnacentral:sRNA from 1 species